UGAAAAGCGGUCCGCAGAGGCAGGAAGCUCUGUGGCUCUCGGGUGGUGGGGCUGGGGGUGAUGUCACUGGGCGUGGCGGCGCCGAAUGUUUUAAAACAGGAAUGUUCGACGUCGUUACUUUGGUGAUGACUACGAACGUACACAUUUGUUGAAAUACGGCGUGUUACGCCCCUCAGAUCGGGUUUCCUGAGUUCCUGCCCUGCCCUGACUGCCCUCGGUGAUGGACGGUCACCUAGAAGCGUAAGCAGAAAUAAACCUUUUCCUCUGGAGACUGGAAUUUGAGGCGCAUGUUGGUCCGAUUGGCCGAUAAAAACUUCGAUGGAGGCCUGUCAUUGGAUGAGAAGGAAGGAUGGGCGGGAGAAAAGUUUCAGAGCAGCAGAGGAAGCUGGAGCGAGCAGGAGGCAGCCAAGAGAACAUGGUGGCGCAUGUUAAGAUUCCUCUCUGAGGCUGGAGAGAUGGCUCAGCAGCUAGGAGCACUGACUGCUCUUCCAGAGGUCCUGAGUUCAACUCCCAGCAACCACAUGGUGGUUCACAACCAUCUGUAAGGAGAUCCGAUGCCCUCUUCUGGUGUAUCUGAAGACAGCUACGGUGUACUUAUAUAUAAUAAAUAAAUCUUAAAAAAAAAAAAAAAAAAAA